AUGGCAUCCCUUUCCAUGUUGGUCACAUGGGAGAUUUGGAACGAGCAUAACUCUUGCAGUUUUAACCAUAAGCAGACCCCUCCACCGACCAUCAUCCAGCAUAUACGUAACGAGGCCUCUAUGUGGGUCACAGCCAGAGCUAAGCAUUUGGGUAUUGCCAUGCCGGGAGAGUAG
rnacentral:rRNA from 1 species